ACGCGAAGAACCUUACCAGGUCUUGACAUCCUCUGACAAUCCUAGAGAUAGGACGUCCCCUUCGGGGGCAGAGUGACAGGUGGUGCAUGGUUGUCGUCAGCUCGUGUCGUGAGAUGUUGGGUUAAGUCCCGCAACGAGCGCAACCCUUGAUCUUAGUUGCCAGCAUUCAGUUGGGCACUCUAAGGUGACUGCCGGUGACAAACCGGAGGAAGGUGGGGAUGACGUCAAAUCAUCAUGCCCCUUAUGACCUGGGCAACACACGUGCUACAAUGGACAGAACAAAGGGCUGCAAGACCGCAAGGUUUAGCCAAUCCCACAAAUCUGUUCUCAGUUCGGAUCGCAGUCUGCAACUCGACUGCGUGAAGCUGGAAUCGCUAGUAAUCGCGGAUCAGCAUGCCGCGGUGAAUACGUUCCCGGGCCUUGUACACACCGCCCGUCACACCACGAGAGUUUGCAACACCCGAAGUCGGUGAGG
rnacentral:rRNA from 1 species